rnacentral:rRNA from 1 species
UACGGGAGGCAGCAGUGAGGAAUAUUGCGCAAUGGGCGAAAGCCUGACGCAGCAACGCCGCGUGAGGGACGAAGGCCUUCGGGUCGUAAACCUCUUUUCUGGGGAAAGAGCAAGGACGGUACCUCAGGAAUAAGUCUCGGCUAACUACGUGCCAGCAGCCGCGGUAAAACGUAGGAGGCGAGCGUUAUCCGGAUUUACUGGGCGUAAAGCGCAUGCAGGCGGCUUCGUUAGUCGGGUGUGAAAGCUCCUAGCUUAACUGGGAGAGGCCAUUCGAUACUGCGAGGCUUGAGGUUGGGAGAGGGGUGUGGAAUUCCCGGUGUAGUGGUGGAAUGCGUAGAUAUCGGGAGGAACACCUGUGGCGAAAGCGGCACCCUGGCCCACACCUGACGCUGAGGUGCGAAAGCGUGGGGAGUAAACAGGAUUAGAUACCCUGGUAAUCCACGCUGUAAACGAUGUCAACUGGGUGUCGGUAGCUUUACGCUAUCGGUGCCGAAGCAAACGCGUUAAGUUGACCGCCUGGGGACUACGGCCGCAAGGCUAAAACUCAAAGGAAUUGACGGGGA